rnacentral:rRNA from 1 species
GAGUUUGAUCAUGGCUCAGGACGAACGCUGGCGGCACGCCUAACACAUGCAAGUCGAACGGAGAUAUUUUGGUUUACUGAGAUAUCUUAGUGGCGGACGGGUGAGUAACACGUGAGCAACCUGCCUCUGAGAGAGGGAUARCUUCUGGAAACGGAUGGUAAUACCUCAUAACAUAACGAAGCCGCAUGACUUUGUUAUCAAAGAUUUAUCAYUCWG